rnacentral:lncRNA from 1 species
UUUCAAUUGUGCAUGUGCACUGUUAGCACUUAGCAUUGAUUAUUCAUUGAUUGUUAAACCGAAACCGUACCGAACCAAAAUAAGAAAUACCGAACCGUACCAAAAUAUUUUGGUAUGGUAUUUGGUAUACACAAUUGAUAAACCGAAUACCGAAAUACCGAACCGAAAUUCUUACCUACCGAACCGAAAUACCGAACGCCCACCCCAUAAUCUAAAGCAUGCUACGAUUUUCAUAAGUUAUUAUCUAAACCACUUUCAGAUUCAAAGAAAACCACAUGUUCGGAAGGCGCAUCCUGAAAUAAAGAUUACAGCAUAUGAAUCUACACCAUAACACUAAACGCAUGAUUAUAUUUGUUCGAAUUAAACUACAAGAUUUGAGAAACACUUCCAUCUCAAGAAUCAACAAUAUAAAAAUUUAAACAGAGGAAAUGAAAAUAACUUAAGCAGGCACAUGUUCCUGGAGGAUUCUGUUGGAAGAUGUCGAUUAAAUAUUCUUGCUAUCUUACACAUAUUAGGACUCAGAAAUUAUAGGAAUAGACAAAUGCACUAUACAAUCAUCUCAUGUCAAAGAAAAUGGAAAAGUUCCAUGUUUUCCCAUCACGUAAGAUUCAAAAUAAAGCAUUGAAAGUUUUCAAAAUCCACAAAAGUUUAAUACAUGUUCAAAAUGUAAACUUUCUCAGUUUCCUCCAGGUAAAGUAAACGAACAACUUCAAGCAUCAGAAUGUGGCAGCCUAUGGUAUUAUUACUAGAUCUGGAUGAAGUGGUAGACGUCUGACUUUUAGUUUGUAAAGCUGCAAUUACCUUCUGUUGUAUUAAAGUUCAGACGUUCCCCGGCCCGUUAAUCUUCUUUAAAUGCUAGUGAUUUAUGCAUUUGUUCAUCUGUUUAAAUAUACAAAAAUAAUCCAUAGCAACAAUGACACAGGAGAGCAUGUACUCUUUCUAUAGAAAACUCCAAAUACCAAACUGUCAUCCUAGUCCAAGCAUAGCCGCAAAAGAAAUUUAAAUCAUUCGAACUACUACUGAAAGCAAAUUAGAUGUAGAUUCAACAAAAUCAUAGCCAUUCUCACUUUCAAAGAGACAUAAUUAUAAGAGGGGAUUUGUCAUGUGUACCUAUUUGCAAGGAAUAUCAGCUAAACAAAACCAAAUACAGAUCUGAAACUGGGCGAUGGAGCUCAAUCAGUGAAAGAAGAAACAACGACAGCAAAUCCAGAUUCUUCUUCUUUUUUUUCUAGAAUUUUCAAAGCUUUUUGCAACCCAGAUUUUCAAAGCUCUCAUGGAUUCAACAAUCAACCAUCAGUUUUGGAGAGUCUAAAUACUCUUAUAAUCCCAGAAAAUAACAAGCCAAUCAACUGAAAUCCUUUUUUAGAAUAGUUGAGUGAGAGAUGAGUGAGGUUAGAGAAGGGGAUUUUAGAGGUGGUUCGUUCUCUGUUUCUCUCUAUCUCGGCGACGACUAGGAUUCAAGGGGGAGGGGUUCUGUUCAUUGGUGCCCCUGUUUUGAGAAGAUGAUGAUGAAGAUCAAGAGGGUGCAUCGUUGCUUAAGGAUAAGGUCUUUUGUCUAGGUCUUAGCUGCUAGUUUCUAAUUUUUUGGGAGGGUCCUUUGGAAAAUGGGAGGUUUUAA